CAUCGCAACGGACUGCAUGUUUUGCCUGGCAUUUGUGUGCCUACGUGCGUGUGUGUGUGAGCAAGGGAGCACCAAAGGAAGUCCCUCCAAUGGCAGAGAAACGGCAUAAGUGUUGCACAUGUUGUUGUGACACAUGCCCUCGGGGCUAGCGGUCUCCGCAUGAGUGAAUCACGGUGGGAUAAGAGAUCCUGGGUACGGACAGAUGGUUUGCGCUGUCACUCGGAGGAGGCAGAGCUAACUGAGUCAGGAAGAGGAGCCAAACGAAGCCUUCAAGAUUUACAGCCGGCCCUCUGUAUCCACAGAUUAUUGCAGAUUCAGCUAUCCAUGGCUUGAAAAUAUCAUCGCAAACUUUUUACCAUUUA